AGGGAAUCUUCCACAAUGGACGCAAGUCUGAUGGAGCAACGCCGCGUGAGUGAAGAAGGCUUUCGGGUCGUAAAACUCUGUUAUUGAAGAAGAACGUGUGUGAUGUAACUGGUCAUGCAGUGACGGUAUUCAAUCAGAAAGUCACGGCUAACUACGUGCCAGCAGCCGCGGUAAUACGUAGGUGGCAAGCGUUGUCCGGAUUUAUUGGGCGUAAAGCGAGUGCAGGCGGUCUUUUAAGUCUGAUGUGAAAGCCUUCGGCUUAACCGAAGAAGGGCAUCGGAAACUGGGAGACUUGAGUGCAGAAGAGGAGAGUGGAACUCCAUGUGUAGCGGUGAAAUGCGUAGAUAUAUGGAAGAACACCAGUGGCGAAGGCGGCUCUCUGGUCUGUAACUGACGCUGAGGCUCGAAAGCGUGGGUAGCAAACAGGAUUAGAUACCCUGGUAGUCCACGC
rnacentral:rRNA from 1 species